UACGAACUGUGCAAACGUUAUUCGGAUUUACUGGGCUUAAAGGGUGCGUAGGCGGCUUGCCAAGUAGGGUGUGAAAGCCCCCGGCUUAACCGGGGAAUUGCGCCCCAAACUGGCGAGCUGGAGUGAGAUAGGGGUGUGUGGAACUUCCGGUGGAGCGGUGAAAUGUGUUGAUAUCGGAAGGAACGCCGGUGGCGAAAGCGACACACUGGGUCUCAACUGACGCUGAGGCACGAAAGCCAGGGGAGCGAACGGG
rnacentral:rRNA from 1 species